AUAAGCCAAUGUGCUCGUAGUCUGAAUAACUCAGAAAUUGAUAGUGUUUACAUCAGCUUUAUCUCUGCUUCGGCCUUGGGAUAUUAGUUAAACUAGAACACUAUAUUU
rnacentral:snoRNA from 1 species